rnacentral:rRNA from 1 species
GCGCUAACAGAUGAGCCCAAGUCGGAUUAGCUAGUUGGUAGGGUAACGGCCUACCAAGGCGACGAUCCGUAGCUGGUCUGAGAGGACGACCAGCCACACUGGGACUGAGACACGGCCCAG